rnacentral:misc_RNA from 1 species
GCAGGAUAUAGGUACUUUGUAUUUCAUACCAUGAUCAACAGGCCUCCAACCAUCAAAUGUACUAAUUGUAAGCAAAGUUAAUAUGCUUUAAUAUGAGAAUUCUUCAUCUGUAUAUGGUUCUUCUGUAAAGGCAGGUAGUACUGGAGCAUCUUUUCCCAAAUUUGUAAUUAUCCAUGCCUACCCAGUUCAAGAAAAAAUUUGUAGUUUUCCAUUACAACUUCAAAGGAGAUGCAACCAACAACUCUUAUGCAGGCACCCAACAGCUGGAAGCAUAGAUAAUUCGACCCUUCCAUCCCUGCAGCAUCCAGUUGCUGUCUUGAUCAAUUACAAAAUCCUUGUGGUACCACGUCUUCAUCUUAUCCCUACACUUUUCUAUGACCUCCUGGUCCAAAGGGAGCUGCUUAAACCCUGCCCUUGUAAUCCGAAGCUGCCACUGCUUGUAGGUUUCAGGCCUCUCUACCCUUUCCAUGCCCUCACAUGCUACAACAUUCAUGGCCUCUCUCCCAUAAAACUCUCUCUCAAACAUCAAUCUCUCUUGAUCUUCACGAGGUAUGGUAGAAUCAAACAUAUCAAACAGAGAGGAGAAGUGGAAAAGUGCCUCCCGGAACCUUGUGACGAAGAACGGAGCAUUGUAGGAUCCAUUAAUGAUACAAUGAACAAAAAUAUUGGGUUUUAUCUUCCGGAUUAAGUUAAGAACAGCAUUCCUCGGACAGUUCACUUCAAAUGUCUCAUCAAGUAGAUUCUUAAACCUACCGAAACAAUUCACAGCAAGCACCUCAUUGCUAUUAAUCUUGAGGUCCUCAAUUGUGAUAUUUUCCCAGUUCUGAGAAGUAAUAGAAUUGUACUCAAAUGGAACACUAAAGCGCUCACAAUACUUUGCCAAGCGACGUCCUGUCUCCUCAACUCUUUCUGCUGGCCGGAAACCCUGUUGGGGCAGCUCUAUCCCUGUAAUGCGUAGCUUGGGAGGCCCACCAGACCUCAUUGAGAGCAGCUGAAUAAGAAUUGGCCACUGGAAACCAUACAGGACGCCAAAAUCUACAAUAUGAAGAGUUGUUGCCUUUUCUGC